CAGGACGAACGCUGGCGGCGUGCCUAAUACAUGCAAGUCGAACGGUCUUUCUAUGGAAGCUUGCUUCCACUGAGAAGAUAGUGGCGAACGGGUGAGUAACACGUGGGGUAACCUGCCCAUAAGAGGGGGAGUAACAUCCGGAAACGGGUGCUAAUACCGCAUAGUUUUCUUGAUCGCAUGAUCGGGAAAGGAAAGACGGCCUUUGUGCUGUCGCUUAUGGAUGGACCCGCGGCGUAUUAGUUAGUUGGUGAGGUAACGGCUCACCAAGACGAUGAUACGUAGCCGACCUGAGAGGGUGAUCGGCCACAUUGGGACUGAGACACGGCCCAAACUCCUACGGGAGGCAGCAGUAGGGAAUCUUCCGCAAUGGACGAAAGUCUGACGGAGCAACGCCGCGUGAGUGAAGAAAGGUUUUCGGAUCGUAAAACUCUGUUGUCAGAGAAGAACAAGUUGGAGAGUAACUGCUCCAGCCUUGACGGUAUCUGACCAGGAAGCCACGGCUAACUACGUGCCAGCCGCGGC
rnacentral:rRNA from 1 species